UGUUUCCACAAAGAUUGUUUAUUUCACUGAAUUACUACCAGCAUACAGUUGACCAUCAUGGUACUAAAUACUCAUCUUAAUUCAAUAUUUAUACUGGAAGAUAAGAAAUGUCCUCUCUUAGGCUACCAUGUAGUGGGGUAAACCAGAUACUGAACAAAAACUAAACACUGUAGCUAAUGUAUUCUCUGAAACACUACUUAAAUGGGUUACUUAAAGCCACAUUAGACAUUUAAAUUAAAAAACAUGCAGUUGUUCUUGUUCUUUUACUGGAGGAACUUGUCUGGCUUCCCAAGUCAUAAUCAAGAGAAUGCAUAUGUAGACACUUGUUCAAACAGAAGAUACUGAGUAGGUAUAAAUAUAACAUACUAAAAAAUGCAUUUUCAUUGGUAAGAAAAAUAUGAAAUAUAUGCACAGUUACUCAUUACAUUUUAAAAGAAAUCCACCAAGUACUUAAAAUAAUCAAAAUGUUUUAGUGCUUUGCAUCAAAUGCAGUACAAAAUAUGACAAUGUAUCAUAAAUUUAGAUAUAUAUAUAUAUACAUUUAUUACAUUUGGAAGGAAACCCAUGAAGUAUUUUAAGCAAAUAAAAAUAAAUCAGAAUGCCUUAGUGCUUUGUAUCAAAUACAGUACAAAAAUAAUGACAGUGCAUCAUAUGUCUAGAUAUAUGCUCUACAAUUACAUUAAAUUUAAGAAAACAAAAUAAACAAGACAUUUACUUUUCCAGUUGCAAGUACACAAAUACAUAUAAAAUGUUCCCUUAUCAGGAAGGAUAUGAUUUAGCACGCCACAAUGUUAAAAAGACUGACAGCCAUAAUAGCAUUUCUAUACUAACGCAUUCACCAGGUUAAAUUAUUUUGUUCCCGUUAGAUGAAUGACUCAUCUGCACGUGGCACAAGCAGUUCAUUUUUUUCAAAAACUAUGCACACAUUUAUACCACUUAAUCUUUUCAAAUAUUUUGGAGGUUUCACUUUCAGAACUGAUAUGCACAUUCAUAUGAUUUAGCCUGUAAUUCAGUUAUUUUAAACAUACCAAUGAAAAUGUUGUUUACAGCUUAAAGGAAAAAAUAAGCAUGGUUUGUUUUUCUGGUACAAAACUGAACAUUUUCUUCAUGGAACCAAUUACAAUUGGAAUACUGUCUGCAUCUUGGAAUAAGCUGAGAACACUUUAAAGUCUGUUAGUGACAUUUACUUACAUUUUGUGCCUACAGUGUCAUGAUUCAGUUCUAAUUUAUGUGGCCUGGUUUUUUAAUUAACAUCUUUGUGAAAUAACAUUUUGGCUACACUGGUGUCACUAGGAUUGCCAGUGAACUUUACUCUCUCUGACAUCAGUGUGGUAAUGUGUCCACAGACUUUGACGGACACAUCACUGUGCAUGCCAGAGGCAUAUCCAUUAGUUAUCGAUGCAUUCUCAUGUUGUUUGUCACCAAGGAAUAAAAGUAAAUCUAUGUGAAGGUGUGUCUAAUAUAAAAUUAUGACGCUUUUUAUAAAGACAUUGCCCACAUAUUUUAGGAAUACUGGAGGGAAUGCAUUUCUAUACUCAUGCCAUGAUGCAUGUCAGAAUAGUAACAAAACACUAAUGAAAUUUUGAUAUGGAACAGUCAUUACCAAGGGUACAUACUCAAAGUAACAGUCAAACUCUAGAAUCAUAACUGCAAGAAAUAAUUUGCACAGGAAAAAAAAAUAUUUAAGGACAUUAAUGUACAAAAUGAACAUUUACAGAAAAAUCUGUUCAGGUAUAGCAAAGUAUUGAGAAAUCAUGUGCAAGUAUGGUGAUCAUUUCAGAAAACAAAGCGCGACAAACAUCCAAAGAUUAUAUUAAACGUUUGUUUCCCUUUUGUUCUGCUAAGAUUUUUUUUAUUUCCAGUUUUUGUAUUCUAGUAUUGUUUAAUAAGUGACAUAGUAUGCAUGUGUUUUGUAAUUUCAUAUAUAAAACAUUAUGUUUACUACUGUACAUAAAAGUACUUAGAAUUACAGCACAUAUUCAUUUUAUUGACCCACAUUGAGUCAGUAUGUUUAAAAAAAAAUAUGCAUAUUUCUUGACAGCUAUAAAGUUCAAAUAUGGAAAUAAAUCUUUGGAAGCUUCACUAACACUCGUUUUUGUAUGAGAACUAUUUGAGUACAGGUAGAAUGCUCUCACUAUAUGUGCAUAUACUCCAACAAAAACAGUAGCUACUGUUCUGAUGUAUAGCAAAAUAAGUACUUAAAUUUGGGUCUAUAUCACACUGUCAAAUACUUACUUCAUCGAAUUGCUAUUUAUCAAACCCACUUUGUUGAAACCUCUAUUCAUCAAAUGUCCAUUUCAUCGAAGUUUUUCAUAUAUAGAAACAACAGCUGGCCAUCAUUGUGGAUUUGCCCUUUCCCCAUGAGUAGUACGAUCCUGGAGUUGGUAUAUUUAGUUGGAGGGGUGUUGGGGUGCAGCCCACCACACUGGGGGAUGCAAAGACCCCAGUUGGGUGGGUUUUAAAGAUUUAGAAUUUAGUGACUGGCACUAGAUUGACCAGCCGUUGCUUCUCCCUGU